GGAGCAGUAGCAGAGUGGUGGUGCUUGUGUGUGGAGUUCACUAGGGCAUGGGUUUGAAUCCCCUCUGCCCCU
rnacentral:tRNA from 2 species